GCGGAAGGCCGGAUGACCGCGGCGAUUCAAAUCGUCGAGGAAAGUCCGGACUCCAAAAAACAACGGUGCCGGGUAACGCCCGGGCGGGGCAACCCGACGGAGAGCGCCACAGAAAUGAAACCGCCCUUUCGGGUCUGUGUCGGGCAACCGAUACCGCCGCAGGGGUAAGGGUGAAACGGUGGGGUAAGAGCCCACCGCGCCGCUGGCAACAGGGGCGGCACGGCAAGCCCCACCGGGAGCAAUGCCAAAUAGGGACCGCGUGCCGCCGCAAGGGGGCGGGGCUGUUUUUGCCCCAGCAGGUUCGGGUUGGCAGCUAUAGCUGCAUCGGCAACGGUGCGGUCAGAGGAAUGGUCAUCCAAGGGCGCAAGCCCUGGACAGAAUCCGGCUUAUAGGCCUUCCGCGCAU
rfam:Sulfitobacter mediterraneus strain 1FIGIMAR09 PM02_010, whole genome shotgun sequence.